CUGAUGCAGCGACGCCGCGUGAGGGAUGACGGCCUUCGGGUUGUAAACCUCUUUCAGCAGGGAAGAAGCGAAAGUGACGGUACCUGCAGAAGAAGCGCCGGCUAACUACGUGCCAGCAGCCGCGGUAAUACGUAGGGCGCAAGCGUUGUCCGGAAUUAUUGGGCGUAAAGAGCUCGUAGGCGGCUUGUCACGUCGGUUGUGAAAGCCCGGGGCUUAACCCCGGGUCUGCAGUCGAUACGGGCAGGCUAGAGUUCGGUAGGGGAGAUCGGAAUUCCUGGUGUAGCGGUGAAAUGCGCAGAUAUCAGGAGGAACACCGGUGGCGAAGGCGGAUCUCUGGGCCGAUACUGACGCUGAGGAGCGAAAGCGUGGGGAGCGAACA
rnacentral:rRNA from 1 species